AACGAACGCUGGCGGCAGGCUUAACACAUGCAAGUCGAACGAGAUCUUCGGAUCUAGUGGCAGACGGGUGAGGAACACGUGGGAACAUCCCUUUCAGUUCGGAAUAACGUUGGGAAACUAACGCUAAUACCGGAUACGUCCUUCGGGAGAAAGAUUUAUCGCUGAAAGAUUGGCCCGCGUCUGAUUAGCUAGUUGGUGAGGUAACGGCUCACCAAGGCUACGAUCAGUAGCUGAUCUGAGAGGAUGAUCAGCCACAUUGGGACUGAGACACGGCCCAAACUCCUACGGGAGGCAGCAGUGGGGAAUAUUAGACAAUGGGCGCAAGCCUGAUCCAGCCAUGCGGCGUGAGUGAUGACGGCCUUCGGGUUGUAAAGCUCUUUUGUCCGGGAAGAUAAUGACUGUACCGGAAGAAUAAGCCCCGGCAAACUUCGUGCCAGCCGCCGCAGUAA
rnacentral:rRNA from 1 species